GAAAAGAACUUUGAAAAGAGAGUAAAAUAGUACGUGAAAUUGUUGAAAGGGAAACGAUUGAAGCCAGUCGUACUGGCGGGAAAUCAACUUCUCGAGUGCUUGUCGUGGGUGACGUUGAGCUUCACGGCCUUCGUUGCUUACGUUAUGGUGCUUUUGAGGUGUACUUUUCCGUAGGUAGGUCAACAUCGAUUUUGAUCGUCAUAAAAUGAUCGGAGGAAUGUGGCUCUGAUCUCGUAUCGGAGUGUUAUAGCCUUUGAUAGAUGUGACGAUUGGGAUCGAGGAUUGCAACGAAUACCCUUUUGGGCUAUCCGUCUGACCUCUGAUGGUUAGCUGGGUGCCGAAAGCGUGCUUAUGACAUUCUAGUUGGCGGUCAAAAGGUUAGAACGUGAUUACAUUCGUU
rnacentral:rRNA from 1 species